rnacentral:rRNA from 1 species
CGAGUUGAGAGACUGAUCGGCCACAAUGGGACUGAGACACGGCCCAUACUCCUACGGGAGGCAGCAGUAGGGAAUCUUCCACAAUGGGCGCAAGCCUGAUGGAGCAACACCGCGUGAGUGAAGAAGGGUUUCGGCUCGUAAAGCUCUGUUGUUAAAGAAGAACACGUAUGAGAGUAACUGUUCAUACGUUGACGGUAUUUAACCAGAAAGUCACGGCUAACUACGUGCCAGCAGCCGCGGUAAUACGUAGGUGGCAAGCGUUAUCCGGAUUUAUUGGGCGUAAAGAGAGUGCAGGCGGUUUUCUAAGUCUGAUGUGAAAGCCUUCGGCUUAACCGGAGAAGUGCAUCGGAAACUGGAUAACUUGAGUGCAGAAGAGGGUAGUGGAACUCCAUGUGUAGCGGUGGAAUGCGUAGAUAUAUGGAAGAACACCAGUGGCGAAGGCGGCUACCUGGUCUGCAA